rnacentral:rRNA from 1 species
GUCCUAAGGUAGCGAAAUUCCUUGUCGGGUAAGUUCCGACCUGCACGAAUGGCGUAACGACUUCCCCGCUGUCUCCAACAUCGACUCAGCGAAAUUGAAUUGCCUGUCAAGAUGCAGGCUUCCCGCGGUUAGACGGAAAGACCCCGUGCACCUUUACUACAGCUUCGCACUGGCAUCAGGACUGCAAUGUGCAGGAUAGGUGGUGGGCUUUGAAGCGCGAACGCCAGUUUGCGUGGAGCCUCCCUUGAGAUACCACCCUUUGCAUUCUUGAUGUCUAACCGCGGUCCGUUAUCCGGAUCCGGGACCCUGCGUGGCGGGUAGUUUGACUGGGGCGGUCGCCUCCUAAAGCGUAACGGAGGCGCGCGAAGGUUGGCUCAGAGCGGUCGGAAAUCGCUCGUUGAGUGCAAUGGCAUAAGCCAGCCUGACUGCGAGACUGACAAGUCGAGCAGAGUCGAAAGACGGCCAUAGUGAUCCGGUGGUCCCAAGUGGGAGGGCCAUCGCUCAACGGAUAAAAGGUACGCCGGGGAUAACAGGCUGAUACUGCCCAAGAGUCCAUAUCGACGGCAGUGUUUGGCACCUCGAUGUCGGCUC